rnacentral:rRNA from 1 species
UACAGAGGUCCCAAGCGUUGUUCGGAUUCACUGGGCGUAAAGGGUGCGUAGGUGGCUUGGUAAGUUCGAUGUGAAAUCUCCGGGCUUAACCCGGAAAUGGCAUUGAAUACUAUUGAGCUGGAGGUUUGGAGGGGGGACUGGAAUUCUCGGUGUAGCAGUGAAAUGCGUAGAUAUCGGAAGGAACACCAGUGGCGAAAGCGGCUUCCUGGUCCAGCACCGACGUUCAGGCACGAAAGCGUGGGGAGGCAAACAGG